rnacentral:rRNA from 1 species
UGAGUUUGAUCCUGGCUCAGGAUGAACGCUAGCGGGAGGCCUAACACAUGCAAGCCGAGCGGUAGAGUCUCUUCGGAGACUUGAGAGCGGCGCACGGGUGCGGAACACGUGUGCAACCUGCCUUUAUCUGGGGGAUAGCCUUUCGAAAGGAAGAUUAAUACCCCAUAAUAUAUUGAAUGGCAUCAUUCGAUAUUGAAAACUCCGGUGGAUAGAGAUGGGCACGCGCAAGAUUAGAUAGUUGGUGAGGUAACGGCUCACCAAGUCUGCGAUCUUUAGGGGGCCUGAGAGGGUGAUCCCCCACACUGGUACUGAGACACGGACCAGACUCCUACGGGAGGCAGCAGUGAGGAAUAUUGGACAAUGGGUGAGAGCCUGAUCCAGCCAUCCCGCGUGAAGGACGACGGCCCUAUGGGUUGUAAACUUCUUUUGUAUAGGGAUAAACCUACUCUCGUGAGAGUAGCUGAAGGUACUAUACGAAUAAGCACCGGCUAACUCCGUGCCAGCAGCCGCGGUAAUACGGAGGGUGCAAGCGUUAUCCGGAUUUAUUGGGUUUAAAGGGUCCGUAGGCGGAUCUGUAAGUCAGUGGUGAAAUCUCACAGCUUAACUGUGAAACUGCCAUUGAUACUGCAGGUCUUGAGUGUUAUUGAAGUAGCUGGAAUAAGUAGUGUAGCGGUGAAAUGCAUAGAUAUUACUUAGAACACCAAUUGCGAAGGCAGGUUACUAAGCAACAACUGACGCUGAUGGACGAAAGCGUGGGGAGCGAACAGGAUUAGAUACCCUGGUAGUCCACGCCGUAAACGAUGCUAACUCGUUUUUGGGAUGUAAGUUUCAGAGACUAAGCGAAAGUGAUAAGUUAGCCACCUGGGGAGUACGAACGCAAGUUUGAAACUCAAAGGAAUUGACGGGGGCCCGCACAAGCGGUGGAUUAUGUGGUUUAAUUCGAUGAUACGCGAGGAACCUUACCAAGGCUUAAAUGGGAAAUGACAGGCUUAGAAAUAGGCUUUUCUUCGGACAUUUUUCAAGGUGCUGCAUGGUUGUCGUCAGCUCGUGCCGUGAGGUGUUAGGUUAAGUCCUGCAACGAGCGCAACCCCUGUCACUAGUUGCCAUCAUUAAGUUGGGGACUCUAGUGAGACUGCCUACGCAAGUAGAGAGGAAGGUGGGGAUGACGUCAAAUCAUCACGGCCCUUACGCCUUGGGCCACACACGUAAUACAAUGGCCGGUACAGAAGGCAGCUACACAGCGAUGUGAUGCAAAUCUCGAAAGCCGGUCUCAGUUCGGAUUGGAGUCUGCAACUCGACUCUAUGAAGCUGGAAUCGCUAGUAAUCGCGCAUCAGCCAUGGCGCGGUGAAUACGUUCCCGGGCCUUGUACACACCGCCCGUCAAGCCAUGGAAGUCUGGGGUACCUGAAGUCGGUGACCGUAAUAGGAGCUGCCUAGGGUAAAACAGGUAACUAGGGCUAAGUCGUAACAAGGUAACAAUCGUCGACC